GGAACCAUGCGAGGAGAGGCCGCCCAACCCCGUCAGGUCCGGAAGGAAGCAGCGGUAAGCGGAUCUCUUCUGCGCCGUGGGGGUGCA
rnacentral:SRP_RNA from 1 species